rnacentral:rRNA from 1 species
AAAGGGUAGCAAUACCUGAGUAAAGCGGCGCACGGGUGAGUAACACGUGGAUAACCUGCCUCAAAGUGGGGAAUAACACCGGGAAACCGGUGCUAAUACCGCAUAUUCUGACGAGAUCUGUGGAUUUUGUCAGGAAAGGAGCAAUUCGCUAUGAGAGGGGUCCGCGGCUGAUUAGCUAGUUGGUGAGGUAAUGGCUCACCAAGGCCACGAUCAGUAGCCGGUCUGAGAGGACGGUCGGCCACACUGGAACUGAGACACGGUCCAGACUCCUACGGGAGGCAGCAGUGGGGAAUUUUUCGCAAUGGGGGCAACCCUGACGAAGCAAUGCCGCGUGGAUGAUGAAGUAUCUCGGUACGUAAAAUCCUUUCGACGGGGACGAAACCGCAAGGUUGACGGUACCCGUAGAAGAAGCCCCGGCUAACUCCGUGCCAGCAGCCGCGGUAAUACGGGGGGGGCAAGCGUUGUUCGGAAUUACUGGGCGUAAAGGGUGCGUAGGCGGCUUUCUAAGUCGGAUGUGAAAACUCUGGGCUCAACCCAGAGCCUGCAUCCGAAACUGGAGAGCUAGGGUUCUGGAGGGGAAAGCGGAAUUCCUGGUGUAGCGGUGAAAUGCGUAGAUAUCAGGAGGAACACCGGUGGCGAAGGCGGCUUUCUGGACAGAUACCGACGCUGAGGCACGAAAGCUAGGGGAGCAAACAGGAUUAGAUACCCUGGUAGUCCUAGCCCUAAACUAUGGAUACUUGCUGUGGGGGGGAUUGAAGCCCCUUGUGGCGAAGCUAACGCAUUAAGUAUCCCGCCUGGGGAGUACGGUCGCAAGGCUG